rnacentral:rRNA from 1 species
CCUACGGGAGGCGGCAGUGAGGAAUAUUGGUCAAUGGCCGUAAGGCUGAACCAGCCAAGUCGCGUGAAGGAAGAAGGAUCUAUGGGUUGUAAACUUCUGUUAUAGGGGAAUAAAGGUAGCCACGUGUGGAGAUUUGCAUGUACCCUAUGAAUAAGCAUCGGCUAACUCCGUGCCAGCAGCCACGGUAAUACGGAGGAUGCGAGCGUUAUCCGGAUUUAUGGGGUUUAAAGGGUGCGUAGGGGGUUUUUUAAGUCAGCGGUGAAAGUUUGUGGCUCAACCCUCAAAGUGCCGUUGAAACUGGCAGUCUUGCGUGUGUUUGUGGUAGGCCGCAUGCGUGGUGUAGCGGUGAAAUGCAUCGCUAUCACGC